UCAAACAAAGCCCAUUUUCAGGUCCAUCUCAUGUGCAAUGACUGCCAUGAGCACAGCAGGACAAACUCCACUCCGAGAGCCCGUUCUCGGAUCAACGACAUUCUCAGGGUCACACAGAACAGGAAAACCAGAGACUGAGAGGUUUACGGAUGAUUUGAGUGAAGAGACAAACAAAAGGACAUAGAGAGAGAGCAAGAGAGAGGGAGAAAGAUCAUUAGAGCUUCUGGAAACAGUUCAAGUCAUUCUCAUGUACGAGAGGCAUCCAGAGGGACUGUUGUGUAGGCCUUGGCAACAGCGGUUCCCCCGGAUCUGCAGUGCUGUCACGCAUGGAUGGAGGCAGAAGAACAGGAGGGGAACAUGAUACCUCGGAGAGCGCGGCACACGACCCUGAGAUGACCCUGACAUAACCGUGUGUUUUCCUACAUUUCUUUUUUGCUGCUGUCUUCUGGGGCUCCAUGUUGUCAGCACCAGCAGUUUCUACCAGCAGUUUUGACAGGCGCUUAAUGGCUUUUCCACAGCAGAGGGCCCCAGGAAUGUGCAGGCUGGGCUCCGGGUAAAGUAGCGGCGCAGGACCGGGAUGGCCACAGAUGUCAUGCUGCGGCCUCUCUGUCUCUUUUUCCACUCCAUUGAGCUUGUUACAGCCGCUCUCCAAACGCACCCUGCCUCCACAUCCUCUUCCGAACACGGCCCUCUCCGCGUGAGGCGGGAGCAUGGGAGGCCGCUGGAAAUGAGUUGUGAAAAAGGGCUCCCAGGGCUCACGUGAAGAGUGAAGGGAAAGAAAGAGGAGAGAAUGACCCAGCACACCUGCAGGACGACCGGGCGCUUCGCUGUGCUCAGGCCCAUCCAGUGGAUCGGUGGUCAUCUUGUCAUGACUUUUGCCCUCGCCCCCUUCCGGCCACCCACCUGUCUCCCAUCAUGCCCUCCGUACGUCUCUGCUGGGCACCUCCCAAAAUCAGCAGCACCUCUUGGGCACAGCCUCCCAUUAAAGACAUCUGUGCAUAGGCGAUGAGCAGAUAAAUCAUUUUUGCAGAACAAUUUUGAUAAAUGAGCUGUUCGCUUUGGAGUGCCUGUGCUUCUGCGCUCCUUUACCCCAGUGGUCCACGGUCUCUGUUUCCAACAUGCUGCAGGCUUAUUUUAAACCCAUGUAUACACGCACACACACACACACACAUACACACAUGCCAAAACCACCUCCUGCCAACAGCAAAGGUAGAGGAAGUUGGAAAGAGCUUUAAAUAAGGAAAUGUUUUGAGGCAAGUAUUGCAUUAUUUGGCAAGUAAUACUUCCAGUUAACAUUAACAACCUAAUUUAGACAUAAAUUAACACAUUGGGGAGACUGGCUAGUUGCCACACUAGGAAUUGGUCACCAGGGCUAUAUCUCAACUGUAAGGAGUCAAAAGUCUACACAACUGUGUGUUUCCUUUAACAGUGAUAUGUUGGCUUUACCCGCUUAUUACAAUAUCAUCUUACUUUUUAAUGGGUAAACAAGGAACAUAGUGAUACCACUUUGGGAUC